AGUUCAGGCUCUUCGGUGUCGGCUAUCAGUAUGCGGGUUGGGGAACUAGGGAAAGCGGCUGCGAGCUGUUUCCGCCUGGAGCGCCGGGCGCUGGUCUGUUGCGGUUGGUGAGGGCGACCCACCGGUAGGAGGGCGACUGGUAGCGGGAGCCUGUCCUGCCCAGCAGGAAGACGAGUAGACGGGAGAGGCAUCGACACAUGCUGGAGGCUGGAGCCUGCGCCCCCGCGGCUCGCCUCGUUGUGAUUGGUGGUGACAUCAGACACUGCAGCUCGGUCAGAGUGGUAGAAAUGUCCUGGGGUAGACUCCAGACUCUAGAGCGUAAUCUCCUGCUUGUGCAAUCUUCAGCAUGGCAGGGCCCCCACACCCACCAUAACAUGGGGGUUCUCCGGCCGGCACCCCCAUGUUAUGUGGGACCCGUAGACCGCCUGGGACUACGGGCUUUUCUGGUUUUGCCUGCCCAGCUGCUUCAAGCCAGACUGGAGGAGGAGGAGGAGGAAUCAUGUGUGGUACACCUAGAGCCUGCGUAUGGCGUGACUCUGCAGCUCGUCUCAUGCAAUUGGUGGUGGUGACUGGAGACUGCAGCUCGACUGGAGUGGUAGGAAGGUUCAUCUGUAUGGCUCCAAAUGAAAAUUACGUUGUUGUGGAUGAACAGUAUUGCGUUGUGCAGAUAUACUGCAGUUUCUUCAUCCCUUCAUCUGUGGAUGGAAAGGUUCCACCAUGUUGGUGCGGAUGACCUGAUUGCGGUACCCGUGUCUGGGUGAAGAGGAUCCGGUUGUGACUAGAUGCUGCAGUUUCUGAAUCCCAUUCUCUGUGGGUGGACAGGACCCAUAGAAGAUGCCGAUUUAAAUAAACUGCUGCCUUCCUGAGAAUACAGGGCAAGAAAUGAUGAAAGCUAUUCAACUCCUCGAGACCCAGAGACCAGUGAAAGAGGAAUCAGACUUACGAAGCCAAUAAAGCCCUUCGAAAAGCUGGCCUCAUAUUUUGUGUGCACAGUCCCUGUAUAGGGUUUUGAUCUGUGGUAAAUAAUGUCACUUGCUGUGACAGGCGCAGAAGCCCCGGUUUAUCUUGGAACCUCAAGAGAAGAGGAAAUUCACUGAAAUCAUAGGUUUCUCCAUCUUGCUGGUAGUGAACUGAUGUCCGGGAUUUUGGUGGCUGAAGAGUAUACUUGUGCAUAAAUCCUUCAAUUCCUGCAUUUUUUCAGCUGUGGAAAGACAAGUGGGUUGAUUCUACACCUUGAUUAUUGUCCAGAGUACUUCAUGAAACACGGGGAGGGAGAGCCCUCCUUAAGAAAUCUUCAGAUUGGUUUCCACAGUUUGAGAUCUAGUUUGCAUUACCUCCAAGAGAAUAGCCGUGUUUGAUUUUCUCUGCUGCAACACCAGCGUGUUAUAUUUUGACAGGACAAAUGGCCACUCUGACCAGCGUGUGAUGGCACUGGUACCUCAUCUCUGAUGAUUAGUGAUCUGGAGCAUCCCCCAGGCCUGUUGAAAUAGCAAUCCCUUGAAAAUGUCUUCUCAGUUAUAACCCAUAUGUAUGUUGCUCAGGCCGCUGUGUGGCCCCAGCACUGUUGGUUUGCACUGGGACUUGGGGAUUGUUUGUCAUUGUUACCCAGGACAAAUGUUACACUGCUUUUCCUACAGUGAGUAGUGGGAGUGGCGUAUGGGGACAUACGCUUAUGCCCACAGUUCCAUCAGAAAUCCCACUGCCUUAAGACAGUCUCACGGCAACCCAGUCCCAGCCUUGCAGCACCAGGUAACCCUGUGGCGUUUUGACUUGGGUGUGUCUGCAUUGUUAAAGUCAUUCAGCACAUUGCCAUGCAUUUAUCCACUUCGGUCAAUGUUAAGGGAAGUUCAUUGCCUCUGCUUCUUCAGUGACUGAUGUCUGGUGCAUCAACUGAAUGCAUUUCAGGCUUAUAAGGCGUUCACCUGAAUCUAUGGGUAAAAAAGCUUUUCACCAUGCCCACCUCCCCAGUGAGUGACCAGUGUCUCAUUAUUAAUGCAUCUGAUGGCACAGAGUUUUAGUGGUUGGAGGGAGGUCAGUCGCCUAGCAGAGACUGAAAUCACGUUGGUAUUUACGUUAUUACUUUGCUACACCUUGGUUUCUGGCAGGGUUUCACACUGUUUAGUCUGGACUGAAUCUUUGAAUUACUUUACUUUGUCUACCAACUAUUUCAAAGAACUUGAUAAACUUGUUCUAAUUAGCCAACAUAGUCAUCCAUAAUGUCCGUAUACGAGGUCUAAUAAUAAAACAUUUCUUAAUGCACACGGCAUGGAAGACAGUCUACACAUUUUCAAGUGUAGACUUUGCCUGUGACUCUUUAGUGAGGAAUAGUCAUUGUUACUUUAGGAAAACCCUGAGUUUAUCCAACUCUUGUUAGAAUUGGAUAAGUGUGAAUUCCUACAAUAGAAUACAAGUGUGAGAGCCAAGUCCUGUGGUAAAAUAAACUCAUUAUUUAUGUAUGUCUGGUCAUUGUAUUAAUAAAAUCAGUU
rnacentral:lncRNA from 1 species